rnacentral:rRNA from 1 species
UACGGGGGGGGCAAGCGUUGUUCGGAAUUACUGGGCGUAAAGGGCUUGUAGGUGGCCAACUAAGUCAGACGUGAAAUCCCUCAGCUUAACUGGGGAACUGCGUCUGAUACUGGAUGGCUUGGAUUCGGGAGAGGAAUGCGGAAUUCCAGGUGUAGCGGUGAAAUGCGUAGGUAUCUGGAGGAACACCGGUGGCGAAGGCGGCAUUCUGGACCGACAUUGACGCUGAGGAGCGAAAGCCAGGGGAGCAAACGGG